CACGUAGGGGGCAAGCGUUGUCCGGAAUUAUUGGGCGUAAAGCGCGCGCAGGCGGUGAAGUCAGUCUGAUGUUUAAACCUGAGGCUCAACCUCGGAUCGCAUUGGAAACUGCUUGACUGGAGUGUAGGAGAGGAAAGUGGAAUUCCACGUGUAGCGGUGAAAUGCGUAGAGAUGUGGAGGAACACCAGUGGCGAAGGCGACUUUCUGGCCUAUAACUGACGCUGAGGCGCGAAAGCGUGGGGAGCAAACAGG
rnacentral:rRNA from 1 species